GCACGUGCACUGCACGGGAUCUCAGUCCCUCCCUCAGUCCCUCCAGCACUCCCUCCCUGGCUCCCUGGCCCCCAACCAACCAGGCGGGCAGACGGCAGCCAGCACUGCGUGCCCCGCCGGCUCACUGUGGCCCGCCGCAUCCUGCCUCGCCGGCUCCGCCUCUUCCCUCGCCGGCCAUGGCCACCGCAGCUCGCGAGCGUCGUUGCCGCCCGCCCUGCGCGGCUGCUCCUUCCGUCUCGGCAUCUCCCGUUGUUUUCCUCCGUCCGCGCCCCGCCGCAGUGUGGCAGCGUCAGUCCGUCCGCUGCAUGGCGCGGCGGCCGGACUCCUCCUACUCGCCGCUGCGGCGCUGCCCCUCUCUCCCUAUCAGACCCUUGCUCCCUGCCUAGGCAUCUCCUCCGCGCUGCGGGCCGCAACCCCCAUGUUCGGCACCCACUCCUCCGCCGCGACGCCGAGGCGCGAGCCGCAGGCGGAUCGAGCCGCAGACUCCAUCCACGGCCGUUCCCCUCCGGGUUCAUCGGCACCUCCGCGCAGCUCCUCCUUCCCUCCCUCCUCCUCCGUCGGAACCCGAGCUGCGGCUCAGGGACGCCACAGCUGCUGGGGUCUGGUGGGGCCCGCCGAGCUGGCGCACAGAGCCAAAGCCGGUCUCGACAUCUCCGUCAGGCUGCUCAAGCCCAUCAAGGAGCAGUUCCCCAUCCUAUCCUACGCUAAUGUCUACCAGCUUGCAGGAGUUCAUGGCCGUUGAGGUCACUGGCGGCCCUGAGGUCCUCUUCCACCCAGGGAGGCAGGUUUCAGAGGUUAUGGGCGACAGGGAGGCGCACAUGGGUGCGAUGCAACACAAGUUUCAUCUCUGUGCCAUAUAAUGGCAACACAGGUCUGUUUCUGGACUUGGUAGGUUAAUUCGAUCUGAAAUACUAAUCAAUUGGUUACACAUACAAUAUCUAGCUGAGUUAGUCUAACCUUCUUAAUUGUUAAAACAUUCAUGCUGGGAAGGCAGAGCAUUGCAAUGGUAGGUAAACAUCUGUGUUACCCGGACACCCGUGUCUUAAUUUUUUUGCCGAGUCGGAUACCCCGCACCCGUGUCGGAUUCCAAGUGUUAUUUGCCGUGUCCCCGAAAAUUCUAACGAAUCGGACACCCGCACCCGUGUCCAUGUAACACUGGUAAACAUGAAUCCAGCUAUACUCCGUUCAGUGCAGACAGUACAGAUUUGAUGUAAAUGGUUUUGUUUGAUGUUUGUUUAUAUGACAUAAAACUAAACUCCUUAAGAUAGCAAGCAAACCGGAGGGAAGGACUACCCAGGUUUAGGAUGUACACUUGGUUAGUUAGUGCUAAAGGUCGAUAAACCAAACUCGCAAGUGUAUAAGUCUUCAAGUGCUUAUCGCUAUCGACACAAUAGGUAAUUUUGAGUCUUUGAGUGCUUAUCAGAUUGAGGUGAAGACUGAAAUUCAUGUAUAAGUCUAGCGGUUUGGAGUUAGAGAGAUCGGAGUAGUGGUUCAUUCAGAAUUUAUAGUGUGCUCCUAAAAGCAAUUUGUUUUACCUUGCAUUGACUUUUACUGAAUUAUUUUUACAUAGGCAAGAAAAAGAGGAAUUUGGUGUAUAAUGAAAAUGUAGAUUGGGAUUAACUGACUUCUUGAAAGCAGAGUAAUAUGUCAAUGUAUUUUCUAUGUUAAAGUUGUGGAUCUCAUGAAAGAUGGUCCUGAGAGCGCUAUGCUAGGGACCUUGUGUAGAGAUAGAAUCUAACACCACGAUACUGAAAGAUGGUCGCAUAGUUCCAUGAUUUACCCACUUUGAUUCUCCAGGAACUCAAUGUCAAACUUUACGAUGCUGAUGCGAGUUUGGUUUUUGCUUUGCUUACAUAUCAUAUGGCCACACAAGCCUACACCAGGGCAGGAGAAGCCAAUUCAUGAAUCGCUGCUUGCUAUACUUCAAACAUAUAUAUCAUUUCUGCACAGUCAGCUUGAAGUUCAGCUAUUUCAGAACUGUAGAUAUUCAAGUGAGCUUAAAUUACCUCUAUAUUUCUUUCAAGACUUUGCAAGGUACAAUUUCUCAUUAAACAAAGUCCGACAACGCACCUCCACUACCUGUAGCGAGUUCGAUAGAAUGUCCAGCCCCCAGCAUGCAUGCUAAGUUGCACAUAGAACUUUUUUAUGCAUACCAUACGUUGUUAUUUUCUUUGCCCCUUAAUAAAUAUAAGAGACAUGGAUGAUAGAUCCUGCUUCAUAGAUCGCAGUGAAUAGUGCCUUUUGUUUUGUAGGUACAUAACCGUCAAAUUGUUGUUAUCAUGAAAUGAUUUUUCCUCUCUGUACAAGCUAUGCCUAGAGGAAGGUCAUUUUUUUCCAUAAUAUGGAAUCACAGCAGCUGUACAAAGAGCACGCGAUUAGGGAGACAGCAGCUGUCCUUUUCCAAGAGCCUGAUGUGGUUGAUCCAAAUAAAGAGAAUAAUCUAUUUUGUUGUGCUGUUCUAAAGCUUCUUUCAUGUAAUUUCAAUUCUCCAGAUCCAACAUUUGAUUGUGACAAGAACUGAAACUCUGAGCUUUUGUUCCUAAAAAUUCAGUAUGCCAUGAUCUGAAAUACUUAACUUCAGUUUAUGCAA